AUGCCCUCCAGGAAGCCCUUCGACAAGCCAUUUGACCCCGUCCAUGAUAGGAAGAGGAAGAGAGGAGGCCCGAUGGAGGAGGAGAUCAAUGUCUUUUGCAGCAUGACUGAGGCAGUGAAGGAGGUGGCAACACCCAUCAGGGAGUGCAAGCCCCUCGACGUCCACCCUGACAUGUAUGGCGCUGUCAUGACUCAGGGUGGCUUCAGCGACGAGGGUUUUCCAGCUCUCAACCACCUGCUUGACAAUAAGGCCCAGGGUGUUGGGUUUGUUGCCAUGGCAGACGCUCACAGGGUGUUGUGGCUGAGGAGCUGGCUGGUCAAGCACUACUACUAG
rnacentral:rRNA from 1 species